GAUGAACGCUGGCGGCGCGCUUAACACAUGCAAGUCGAACGGUGAAGCCCAGCUUGCUGGGUGGAUCAGUGGCGAACGGGUGAGUAACACGUGAGCAACCUGCCCCUGACUCUGGGAUAAGCGCUGGAAACGGCGUCUAAUACUGGAUACGAACCGCGAAGGCAUCUUCAGUGGUUGGAAAGAUUUUUUGGUUGGGGAUGGGCUCGCGGCCUAUCAGCUUGUUGGUGAGGUAAUGGCCCACCAAGGCGUCGACGGGUAACCGGCCUGAGAGGGGGGACGGCCACAGUGGGACUGGGACACGGCCCAGACUACUACGGGCGGCGGCGGUGGGGAAUGUUGCACAAGGGGCGCAAGCCGGAUGCAGCAAAGCCGCGUGCGGGAUGACGGCCUUCGGGUUGUAAACCGCUUUGAGUAGGGAAGAAGCCUUCGGGUGACGGUAACUGCAGAAAAAGGACCGGCUAACUACGUGCCAGCCGCCGCGGUAAUAC
rnacentral:rRNA from 1 species